rnacentral:rRNA from 1 species
GCAAGUCGAACGGUAACAGAACUUGCUUGCAAGGUGCUGACGAGUGGCGGACGGGUGAGUAAUACUUAGGGAUCUGCCUCUGUGUGGGGGAUAACUAUUGGAAACGAUAGCUAAUACCGCAUAAUGUCUACGGACCAAAGGGGGCUUCGGCUCUCGCGCAGAGAGGAACCUAAGCGAGAUUAGCUAGUUGGUGAGGUAAAGGCUCACCAAGGCGACGAUCUCUAGCUGUUCUGAGAGGAAGAGC